rnacentral:lncRNA from 1 species
CAAAAACAUAACUGUUUGUAAAAACUCAAGCUUCCUAACCUUCAACGUGUUAUCAGAAAAUAAAAUAUAAAUUUUACUCAACUGCGUUACCCACUCCGGUCAACAAAAAGCAAUGUGGGACUUUAAGACGAUGCUGUUAGUGUGACGUAUAAUGUAGUGGACGGGACGCUUCUUUCAACAGCAACAACAGUUAGUCAGCCACCUCGGUAGCUUGCUAGCCAAAAUAGCUUAACCAAUAAAGCUCUUUAGACGCUUUCGUGUAUAUUAGCCACUGUGUUUUAAACCCACUUCUGUCGUCCAGUGAGUUAUCCGAUUAAAUUUCAUAUUUACAUUGUUGUUGUUAUUAGUCAGCUAACGGGCUGGUUAAGUUAGCAUUAGCCUAGCUAACUAACAUCUCCGACAAUGAGUUCACCAAACUACUCUCCUCCUGCUAAAGAAGAGGAGAUCUACUGGACGGAGAAAGAACCUCUCGUGAAAGAGGAGGAGGAGGAGGAGGCUGUUACAGUGAAAGAAGAAGAGAAAGACGUUUCAGUGAAAGAAGAGGAAGACGCGUUCAGAGGGAAAGAGGAGGAGGAUGUUACAGUAAAAGAAGAAGAGAAAGAGAAAGAGGAGGAUGCUGUUUUUGGAGUGAAAGAGGAGGAGGGGGAGAUGACUGUUACAUCGAAGAAGGAGGAGGAAGAAGAGGAGGAAACUGGAUAUCUGGGCCCCGUUUCCCAAAGUUAUCUUAAGGCAUCCAAUGGUUCUAAUGAUGAACUUAGCCGUAAGAUGGUUUUGGGAAACCGGGCGCUGAUUAAUACUAGAUCAAUGUCCCGAAAUCUGGACAGUUGCUGCUCUGAAGACACUCUAGAAGACAACCAAACUUGUUUCAUCAUUCUACAUUACAUAUUGGCUACGCAACACGUCAAUUAUACCAUGGAGGUCAGCCAUCAUUAAGCACCAAUGAGACGAGCUGUGUUCACUUGAUUGACAGUGUCUUGGUCCAAUGACCACCUAUCGUUUUGAAAUAUAACUAGCUAGAUAGCCAAUGAGCUGGGCUUUCCAGCAGUAUGUGAAUGCCCUUUAUAACGACAAACAGCCAUCUUGCUAGAGCUGUGUGCAACAGUGUUCAUUCUCAGGUUAAAGGAAACAGGUAGUUUACGUUACGCAGAGGUUCGUUCUAUAUAUUCCAACAAUAUUCCUGAAUUUAAACAGUUUUGUAAAGAGGAAUGGUCCAAAAUUCGUCCUGACCGUUG